GAGCCUCGGGUCCUGUCUAAGUUACAGUCUCCGGCCUGCAGGGGGCGCCGUGGGGCGUCUUGGGCAGGCUCUCCACUGCAGUUUGUUGUUCCACGACCUUCUUCAGGUGCCGUCAGCCAUGGUGGUGAGUUGCUCAAGUGGUGGUCCAUAUGAAGCAGUCUGGGCUCCUGCUUUGCUCCAUGUUGGACCCUGGUUCUGCAGGCGGUGCUCAGGAUGAAGGCUGGGGUUCUGCUGAGCUCCAUGUUGGAACCUAGUUCUGCAGAGUAGCAGGUAAACAGGCAGGGUUCAGGAUGGUCUGGGGUUCUGCUCGGCGCCAUGUUGGACCCUAGUUUUGCAGAGCAACAGGGCUGACGGGCCAGUCCCCUUCUCCACCCACUGCUCUCAGACAUGGAAAGUGGAAGCUGGCCACUUGAAGUCUACAUCUCUUGAGAUUAUUGUUUUCAAUAAAGUUUCUGUUGACUAGA